GUUAAGUUCUAUGAAAGAAUUUAUCUGCCUUGUCAAA
rnacentral:rRNA from 1 species